rnacentral:rRNA from 1 species
UACGUAGGGUGCGAGCGUUAAUCGGAAUUACUGGGCGUAAAGCGUGCGCAGGCGGUUUGUUAAGACAGAUGUGAAAUCCCCGGGCUUAACCUGGGAACUGCAUUUGUGACUGGCAAGCUAGAGUAUGGCAGAGGGGGGUAGAAUUCCACGUGUAGCAGUGAAAUGCGUAGAGAUGUGGAGGAAUACCGAUGGCCGAAGGCAGCCCCCUGGGCCAAUACUGACGCUCAUGCA